GUGGGGAAUAUUGGACAAUGGGCGAAAGCCUGAUCCAGCCAUGCCGCGUGUGUGAAGAAGGUCUUCGGAUUGUAAAGCACUUUAAGUUGGGAGGAAGGGCAGUAAGUUAAUACCUUGCUGUUUUGACGUUACCGACAGAAUAAGCACCGGCUAACUUCGUGCCAGCAGCCGCGGUAAUACGAAGGGUGCAAGCGUUAAUCGGAAUUACUGGGCGUAAAGCGCGCGUAGGUGGUUUUGUAAGUUGGAGGUGAAAUCCCCGGGAUCAACCUGGGAACUGACUCCAAAACUGCAUGACUAGAGUACGGUAGAGGGUAGUGGAAUUUCCUGUGUAGCGGUGAAAUGCGUAGAUAUAGGAAGGAACACCAGUGGCGAAGGCGACUACCUGGACUGAUACUGACACUGAGGUGCGAAAGCGUGGGGAGCAAACAGGAUUAGAAACCCCUGUAGUCC
rnacentral:rRNA from 1 species